rnacentral:rRNA from 1 species
UGGGGAAUAUUGCACAAUGGGCGAAAGCCUGAUGCAGCAACGCCGCGUGAGCGAUGAAGGCCUUCGGGUCGUAAAGCUCUGUCCUCAAGGAAGAUAAUGACGGUACUUGAGGAGGAAGCCCCGGCUAACUACGUGCCAGCAGCCGCGGUAAUACGUAGGGGGCUAGCGUUAUCCGGAAUUACUGGGCGUAAAGGGUGCGUAGGUGGUUUCUUAAGUCAGAGGUGAAAGGCUACGGCUCAACCGUAGUAAGCCUUUGAAACUGGGAAACUUGAGUGCAGGAGAGGAGAGUGGAAUUCCUAGUGUAGCGGUGAAAUGCGUAGAUAUUAGGGGGAACACCAGUUGCGAAGGCGGCUCUCUGGACUGUAACUGACACUGAGGCACGAAAGCGUGGGGAGCAAACAGG